UAGGGAAUCUUCCGCAAUGGGCGAAAGCCUGACGGAGCAACGCCGCGUGAGUGAUGAAGGUCUUCGGAUCGUAAAACUCUGUUAUUAGGGAAGAACAAAUGUGUAAGUAACUAUGCACGUCUUGACGGUACCUAAUCAGAAAGCCACGGCUAACUACGUGCCAGCAGCCGCGGUAAUACGUAGGUGGCAAGCGUUACCCGGAAUUAUUGGGCGUAAAGCGCGCGUAGGCGGUUUUUUAAGUCUGAUGUGAAAGCCCACGGCUCAACCGUGGAGGGUCAUUGGAAACUGGAAAACUUGAGUGCAGAAGAGGAAAGUGGAAUUCCAUGUGUAGCGGUGAAAUGCGCAGAGAUAUGGAGGAACACCAGUGGCGAAGGCGACUUUCUGGUCUGUAACUGACGCUGAUGUGCGAAAGCGUGGGGAUCAAACAGG
rnacentral:rRNA from 1 species